CACGUAGGGGGCAAGCGUUGUCCGGAUUUAUUGGGCGUAAAGAGCUCGUAGGCGGCUCUGUAAGUCGGGUGUGAAACCUCCAGGCUCAACCUGGAGACGCCACCCGAUACUGCUGUGGCUUGAGUCCGGUAGGGGAGCGUGGAAUUCCUGGUGUAGCGGUGAAAUGCGCAGAUAUCAGGAGGAACACCAGCGGCGAAGGCGGCGCUCUGGGCCGGAACUGACGCUGAGGAGCGAAAGCGUGGGGAGCAAACGGG
rnacentral:rRNA from 1 species